AUAAUACUCCAUAGAUUAGAGACACUGGAAUGUUCUUUAGUCGAAAGUUCUGGCGCCUUAGGAUGGAUCUGCGGUCGAUUAGGUUGUUGUUGGGGUAACGGCCCAACAAGCCUGUAAUCGAUACGGGUUGUGGGAGCAAGAGCCCGGAGAUGGAAUCUGAGACACGAUUCCAGGCCCUACGGGGCGCAGCAGGCGCGAAAACUUUACAAUGCAGGAAACUGUGAUAAGGGAACUCCGAGUGCCCGUAUACGCGGGCUGUCCAGGUGUUUAAAAAUCAUCUGAAGAAAGGGCCGGGCAAGACCGGUGCCAGCCGCCGCGGUAAUACCGGCGGCUCGAGUGGUGGCCACUAUUAUUGGGCUUAAAGCGUCCGUAGCUGGACCGAUAAGUCUCUUGGGAAAUCCGCCGGCUCAACCGGCGGGCGUCUAAGGGAUACUGUUAGUCUAGGGACCGGGAGAGGUGAGAGGUACUCCGGGGGUAGGAGUGAAAUCCUGUAAUCCCCGGGGGACCACCGAUGGCGAAGGCAUCUCACCAAAACGGCUCCGACAGUGAGGGACGAAAGCUGGGGGAGCGAACCGGAUUAAAUACCCGGGUAGUCCCAGCCGUAAACUAUGCGCGUUAGGUGU
rnacentral:rRNA from 1 species